rnacentral:rRNA from 1 species
GGCAGCAGUAGGGAAUCUUCCGCAAUGGACGAAAGUCUGACGGAGCAACGCCGCGUGGGUGAAGAAGGCCUUCGGGUUGUAAAGCCCUGUCUUCAGGGAAGAAAAAAAUGACGGUACCUGAGGAGGAAGCCACGGCUAACUACGUGCCAGCAGCCGCGGUAAUACGUAGGUGGCAAGCGUUGUCCGGAAUUAUUGGGCGUAAAGGGCGCGUAGGCGGUUAUUUAAGUCAGGUGUGAAAACUCUGGGCUUAACCGAGAGAUUGCAGUUGAUACUGGGUAACUUGAGUGCAGGAGAGGACAGUGGAAUUCCUAGUGUAGCGGUGAAAUGCGUAGAUAUUAGGAGGAACACCAGUGGCGAAGGCGGCUGUCUGGACUGUAACUGACGCUGAGGCGCGAAAGCGUGGGGAGCAAACAGGAUUAGAUACCCUGGUAGUCCACGCCGUAAACGAUGAGUACUAGGUGU